AUACGGAGGAUGCAAGCGUUAUCCGGAUUUAUUGGGUUUAAAGGGUGCGUAGGCGGUUUGCUAAGCGGGAGGUGAAAUGCCGGCGCUCAACGUCGGAAGUGCCUCCCGAACUGGUGGACUUGAAUGACUCUGCCGUGGGAGGAAUGUGUAGUGUAGCGGUGAAAUGCAUAGAUAUGACGAAGAACACCGAUUGCGUAGGCAGCUGACCAGACCGCAAAUGACGCUCAUGCACGAAAGUGCGGGGAUCGAACAGGAUUAGAUACCCUGGUAGUCCGCACAGUAAACGAUGAAUACUUGUUUUCGGCGAUAUAAUGUCGGAGGCAAAGCGAAAGCGAUAAGUAUUCCACCUGGGGAGUACGCCGGCAACGGUGAAACUCAAAUGAAUUGACGGGG
rnacentral:rRNA from 1 species